GGCGGCGUGCUUAACACAUGCAAGUCGAACGAAGAGCGAUGGAAGCUUGCUUCUAUCAAUCUUAGUGGCGAACGGGUGAGUAACGCGUAAUCAACCUGCCCUUCAGAGGGGGACAACAGUUGGAAACGACUGCUAAUACCGCAUACGAUUCAAUCCCGGCAUCGGGACUGGAUGAAAGGUGGCCUCUAUUUAUAAGCUAUCACUGAAGGAGGGGAUUGCGUCUGAUUAGCUAGUUGGAGGAGUAACGGCCCACCAAGGCGAUGAUCAGUAGCCGGUCUGAGAGGAUGAACGGCCACAUUGGGACUGAGACACGGCCCUGACUUCUACGGGAGGCAGCAGUGGGGAAUCUUCCGCAAUGGACGAAAGUCUGACGGAGCAACGCCGCGUGAGUGAUGACGGCCUUCGGGUUGUAAAGCUCUGUUAAUCGGGACGAAUGGUUCUUGUGCGAAUAGUGCGAGGA
rnacentral:rRNA from 1 species